rnacentral:rRNA from 1 species
GAUGAACGCUGGCGGCGUGCCUAAUACAUGCAAGUCGAGCGAACGGACGAGAAGCUUGCUUCUCUGAUGUUAGCGGCGGACGGGUGAGUAACACGUGGAUAACCUACCUAUAGGACUGGGAUAACUUCGGGAAACCGGAGCUAAUACCGGAUAAUAUUUUGAACCGCAUGGUUCAAAAGUGAAAGACGGUCUUGCUGUCACUUAUAGAUGGAUCCGCGCUGCAUUAGCUAGUUGGUAAGGUAACGGCUUACCAAGGCAACGAUGCAUAGCCGACCUGAGAGGAUGAUCGGCCACACUGGAACUGAGACACGGUCCAAACUCCUACGGGAGGCAGCAGUAGGGAAUCUUCCGCAAUGGGCGAAAGCCUGACGGAGCAACGCCGCGUGAGUGAUGAAGGUCUUCGGAUCGUAAAACUCUGUUAUUAGGGAAGAACAUAUGUGUAAGUAACUGUGCACAUCUUGACGGUACCUAAUCAGAAAGCCACGGCUAACUACGUG